AUCCAGCUGACGAGUUCCGAAUAGGAGGAAAUGUGCCUCCUGGAU
rnacentral:hammerhead_ribozyme from 1 species